AUUGAACGCUGGCGGCAGGCUUAACACAUGCAAGUCGAACGGUAACAGAGAAUAGCUUGCUAUUUUGCUGACGAGUGGCGGACGGGUGAGUAAUGCUUGGGAACUUGCCCUAACGUGGGGGACAACAGUUGGAAACGACUGCUAAUACCGCAUAAUGUCUUCGGACCAAAGGUGGCCUCUGUAUAUGCUACCGCGUUAGGAUGGGCCCAAGUGGGAUUAGCUAGUUGGUAAGGUAAUGGCUUACCAAGGCGACGAUCCCUAGCUGGUCUUAGAGGAUGACCAGCCACACUGGAACUGAGACACGGUCCAGACUCCUACGGGAGGCAGCAGUGGGGAAUAUUGCACAAUGGAGGAAACUCUGAUGCAGCCAUGCCGCGUGUGUGAAGAAGGCUUUCGGGUUGUAAAGCACUUUCAGCGAGGAGGAAAGGGUGCAGGUUAAUACCCUGUAUCUGUGACGUUACUCGCAGAAGAAGCACCGGCUAACUCCGUG
rnacentral:rRNA from 1 species